ensembl:lncRNA
GCGCUGAUGAAAGCACAUAAAGGGGCCUUUCGUAAAUAAAAUAAAGGCAGGCUCAGCGGUGGGAGGAGAACAGAAAGAGGCCCCCAGAGAGAAGAGUGUUUGUGAAAGAGUGCUCCAUUAACUUUCAACACCCUGGCUGUCUGGUGCCCUCCACAGAGGUGUCUGGUUGCUCUCGCUCCACAUUUUCCCUGCUUCUUUCUCUUUGUCUCUUUUUAGCCUCGCAGAAAUGGUCGGUAGCUGUCUGAUGGUUUACUGACCUGAAAAGGGGACAGAAGAAGGGACAGGAAGAACUGAUGCGUGGGACUCGAUGACAGAGAGAAAGCGGACAGAAGAAGCAGUGAAAUGUACCAACAUCACUGACCUGUUCAGGGAUUCAAGUGCAGUUCCCAGGAUACCUUUUGCUGCACCUGAAAGUUCCCGUUACCUGAAACAAAUUGCCUGAAGAAAUCUGCCCUGCUUCUGGUCCUAAAAAUGCAAAGGAGAUGCAGAAACUGGCACGCUAAAUGAACAAUACUCUCAUGUUUCUACUCUUUAAAAAAAAAAAACACAGCUUAAGUCAUGAGAAAUAAAUAAAUAAAAGAUGAGAAAGUAACUUUGUAG